rnacentral:rRNA from 1 species
UAGACCCGAAACCAGAUGAGCUAACCAUGGCCAGGCUGAAGGUGUGGUAACACACACUGGAGGGCCGAACCUACUGGUGUUGCAAAACCAGAGGAUGAGCUGUGGUUAGGGGUGAAAGGCUUAACAAAUCUGGAGAUAGCUGGUUCUCCCCGAAAACUAUUGAGGUAGUGCCUUGCGCAUGAGCUUCUGGGGGUAGAGCACUGUUAUAGCUAGGGGGACAUGGCGUCUUACCAAACUAUGGCAAACUCCGAAUACCAGAAAGCUUCGCGCAGGAGACAGAGCACCGGGUGCUAACGUCCGGACUCAAAAGGGAAUCAACCCAGACCGCCAGCUAAGGUCCCUAAUAUCAGCUAAGUGGAAAACGAAGUGGAAAGGCUAAAACAGUCAGGAAGUUGGCUUAGAAGCAGCCAUCCUUCAAAGAAAGCGUAAUAGCUCACUGAUCGAGUCCUUCCGCGCGGAAGAUGUAACGGGGCUAAGUUGAUAACCGAAGCUGCGGAUUCACACUUUGAGUGUGAGUGGUAGGGGAGCGUUCUGUAAGCCUGCGAAGGUGGAUCGUAAGGUCUGCUGGAGGUAUCAGAAGUGCGAAUGCUGACAUGAGUAACGAUAAAGCGGGUGAAAAGCCCGCUCGCCGCAAACCCAAGGUUUCCUGCUCUACGUUAAUCGGAGCAGGGUGAGUCGGUUCCUAAGGCCAGGCUGAGAAGCGUAGCUGAUGGAAAUCAGGUUAAUAUUCCUGAACCGGCGUUGAAUGCGAUGGGGUGACGGAGCAGCCAGAGUGGACCGGGUGUUGGAUGUCCCGGCUUCCGAGCGAUGGGUGCCUGCAGGCAAAUCCGCAGGCGUAUACCCAGGACGAAGGAUCGGGUCUUCUUUUGAAGACGAAGCCACUGGAAGCGCUUCCAGGAAAAACCUCUAAGCUUCAGUUCAACGGCGACCGUACCGUAAACCGACACAGGUGGGUGAGCUGAAUAUGCUCAGGCGCUUGAGAGAACUCGGGAGAAGGAACUCGGCAAAUUGACACCGUAACUUCGGAAGAAGGUGUGCCUUUGUAGCUUGAUGGGAGAGAAACCCAAAGGGUGAAGAGGUCUCAGAGAAUCGGUGGCUGUAACUGUUUACUAAAAACACAGCGCUCUGCAAAGAUGAAAGUCGACGUAUAGGGCGUGAUGCCUGCCCGGUGCUGGAAGAUUAAUUGAUGGGGUGCAAGCUCCUGAUCGAAGUCCCAGUAAACGGCGGCCGUAACUAUAACGGUCCUAAGGUAGCGAAAUUCCUUGUCGGGCAAGUUCCGACCUGCACGAAUGGCAUAAUAAUGGCCACACUGUCUCCUCCCGAGACUCAGUGAAAUUGAAAUGUUUGUGAUGAUGCAAUCUCCCCGCGGCUAGACGGAAAGACCCCAUGAACCUUAACUGUAGCUUUGCAUUGGACUUUGAACCGAUCUGUGUAGGAUAGGCGGGAGGCUUUGAAGAAUGGACGCCAGUUCAUUCGGAGCCGUCGUUGAAAUACCGCCCUGAUUUGUUUGAGGUUCUAACCUGGGCCAGUAAUCCUGGCUGGGGACCGUGCAUGGUGGGCAGUUUGACUGGGGCGGUCUCCUCCUAAAGGGUAACGGAGGAGUGCGAAGGUACGCUAAUCACGGUCGGAAAUCGUGAGGAUACUGCAAUGGGAAAAGCGUGCCUGACUGCGAGACAGACAAGUCGAGCAGAUGCGAAAGCAGGUCAUAGUGAUCCGGUGGCUUCUGUAUGGAAGGGCCAUCGCUCAACGGAUAAAAGGUACUCUGGGGAUAACAGGCUGAUACCGCCCAAGAGUUCAUAUCGACGGCGGUGUUUGGCAC